rnacentral:lncRNA from 1 species
GUGCUGGUGCCAUGCUUUUUGUGCACCCUGCAGAACCAUGAGCCAAUUAGCCUCUUUUCUUUAUAAAUUCCCCAGCCUCCGGUAUUCCUUUACAGCAACACAAGUGAACGGAGACACUAUCUGAGCAUAAUUAUGAGUUGUGUUUGGGGCCUGUGGUAGGAUGUGAGAGUUGGCAUUCCCUGCUCUUUGCCUGUCUUUCUACAGUGAUGUUCUCCUCCAUGGUCCCUGGAAUAUUCUUCUGUCUCCAGGCCCCACAAAACCCAGAACCAUUUUGGAGGACAGCAUGACAGAGGAAGAGGAAUGGCAUCGAGAGAGAUUCCUGACUUGUUUCAUCCUACUGGUUCUUUUCAAAUUAUACCUGUGAUAAUUCAGCUGUUAAAAGAGGAGUUUUGAAGUCCUGUUAAUACGUGACUCGAGGAAAAUCCAAGCAUCCACACCCCUCACUGAGAGUCCAGCCAUCACCCUGCUGCCAAUCUCAACCUUCUGAAACCCACAUUGGAUGCUGUCACUCUUCUGCUUCUUCCCAUUGCCUCCAGAUAUUUUGGAAGAUCCCUGUUCUGUAACUCUACAUUCUUAUCUGCAAGGUAUCACUUAUUUCAGCCAGUUAAUAACCACCUCUCCUUGUCAAGAUGUUAUAUCUGAGACACUCCCAAAAGUUUCUGCUGGUUUUUCUUCCUUUGUCUUUGGCUUUCCUUAGGGAUAUUGGGCAAAUAUCCCUGACAACUUAAACCUUGAUGUGACAAAUAGAGAUUUCACAUUUAUGAUUAAACCAUCAUGAUUCCACAAAGGGACAACCUGAGCCUUCAUUUGGUUUGGGCUUGGAGCCAACAGAAGUUGAGUCAGACACUCCUAGUGAGUAAAGGCUCGCGGGCUCAACUUGGAAUCGAGCAGGGCAGAGGGGCCUUUGGUUGUAGAGCUGUACUCAAAGAACAUAACACUCCUCCUGCCAAACCAAACUUAAUGGCUCUGCCCUCCAAAAGUCACAGCUUUUAUCAACCAACUGGUAUUCUACUGUGAGAUGCACAAUCUAUCCCACUUUGAUCUCAGCAACAAUAUGCUUGAGGCAAUGAUCUCAAUUUUGCAAUCAUAGCUGAAUUGAUGUAAAACUGGGGACAAUC